UUUUUCAGUUUUAACUUUGUUUCCUUUUUGUUCUCCCUCUCUUCGACUCUUCGACUCUCUGUCUCUCGUCGUCCGUCAUCUCGAAACUUCUCCUUCUCUUCUCCUUUCCUACCUGUGCUCUCCGCUUCAGCCUUCUCCCUCUCCAUCUCCUUAGAAAACCCUUCAAUGCCUUCAUACUUCAACUGGUUUCAGGCCGCCGCAGCUUUGAUCUUUCCUUGUUGACGAGGACCGUCGGCGUUGGGUUCUGCCAUUCUGGUGACCCUGGUAAAACACCGACAACUCUCUCCAUCUCUCGUCGCAGUGAGCCAGUGAGUACCUCUUUGCCCAUUUGUUCUCUCUAUCGUAUCAAAAUUUUUUCCCCAAGUGAAACCCUCGUAAGUUCGUUACUCCGUGUCAUCCUUCAAGGUUUCAGAGGGGGUUCGGGCAGGACUGAAGGCAGCAGCCAUUGCUAGUGUGGCUAGCGCCAUUCCAACGGGCCAAAAGAAGUUGCUAUCUCAGAAAAGUCAGCAAAGUGAACCUGUCACUUUCACAUUACAUGAUUGCGUUGCUUGCAGUGGUUGUAUAACAUCAGUUGAGACUGUGAUGCUUCAACAAACAGUGCUUGGAGAGUUUAUUUCUUCUUAAUAAUCAAAGCAAAAGUCUGUUAUAGUUUCCAUGUUACCUCAAUCAAGAGCAUCAUUAGCAAACCAAGGUUCCUGUCACAGCCAGAAACAAACCAAGGUCUGUGCUUGGAAUUUAAAUUACAAGUCUGUUCACAUAUUUUUAUAUAUUUCUCAAAGCGUAUCCAAAUAUCAACUUCAUUGGCCUCAUAUUGGGCCCUGAGAACAGUAUAAGAAAGCGGCUUGAAGAGAAUUCCACAAAGCACCUCGAACAGCAAUCUUAUCCAAGAAACUUGAGCUCAUAAAACUCGCUGGUUCGGCUCGGCUCCCAACAAAUGAAGAAAAGGCAUCUCAUUCUCGGUUUGUUGGUUUGGCUUCAUUUCUCAGCCUCACAACUAUCACCACAACUGGCGGGGCUCAUCACAUGUGGUGCUUCGGAAACAAAGAUAUAAAAAGGAAUGGUAAACCCUGUUUCUUUACAUUUCUCAAGAACCUUUCUUCUUCUCCCUCAAAAAGAUUGUAGGAAAGCUGAAAAAGGCUAUUGAGAAACAGGCUUCAGCUUUCCUUUUUUUAUAUCUUUGUUUCCAAGCACCAUCCAAUCAUUUGUUGUGAUGACCCCACUAAUGGUGGUAGUGAGACUGAAAAUUGAGAAAUGAAACCGAACAAACCAGCCGAUAUGCCUUGGCUUCACCGGUGGGCAGCCAAAUUGAACCAGUGAGUUUUAUGAGCUCCACCGUUCACAUGGAUUGAUAAAGGUUUCCAGGUUUUCAGUAUUUUCUGUUACAAUUAAGAGUUGAUGGUCGUCUAAACACAAACAUGGGGAAGUGACAUCCAGAUUCUUUUUAAAGAAACUCUGGUUAUUGUAUCAAGAGAAUUCUUAGAAACACGAAUCACGUUUGAAGGAUAAUGACAAGUAUGACCGAGUUUUGGACUCCCCAAUUCACAGCUAAAUGUGUUCCGUCCUCUCUAAUAAGUAUUUCGAGAAAGACAUAAACUUCACUGAGAUUAAGAACACCCACUUAUCGCAAGCCCCCAGAUUUGGACAAGGAAAAAGAUAGAAGAAUAACCGAAUGAACAAUGAAAUCUCGAGACCAGGAGACUUCAAAAAAUAGCACCUUAAAACGUCCUCAUUUCCUUAAUCAAUCUUUCUUUCCUCUAACAAAAAAACGACUUGCGUGGAUGGUGCUAUUGUAGUGGAUGGUGCUACGAAAGAAAGACUAAUGAAAAAAAUAAGGAAAGUCCCUUGAUUUUUUUUCAUUGUUCAUUCAAUUAUUCUUUUUAUCUUUUUCUCACCCCAAAUCUAGGGGCUUGAGAUAAUUGGGUGUUCUGAACGUACCUAUACUCAAAUUUGUUUAAGAAAUGACGGCAAUUAUGCUUUUUGAUCAACACAAACAAAUCCAAGCAUGUGUUGUUUCAUUAGUAAGAAAAACUGUAGAUGCGGGCGUACUGCUCUAGAAGAGAGGAACUUUUCCUGGCUUUUUGAACUGAGCAAGCAGGUCGCUCAGUUCGACUUAGCUCAUAACCAGUUCGUCGUCGAGUUAGUUUGGUAAUCUUACUAAGUAAACCGCGGCUCAUCGAGAAGGGCUUUUCGAAAAAGAAAAGUGGACAGGAAACCUCUCAGGGGAGGAAGGGCACGCGAACACAGAAAAAAGAGCAGAUGA